rnacentral:lncRNA from 1 species
CCCGGCCACUGUUUUUCUUUCCUUUCUCGUAGAGCUGGAAGGAUGGAAGGGAAGUAGUGCUCCUCAUAUCUAGGGAGAGAUUGAAGAUUAAAUGCUUCCUUCCUUCUAGGAAAGUGCUGGCUUUACUGUUGCUAGUGAUUAAACCUCGGGUUUAAUGGGCUAUACAAAUCUAUUGCCAAAGAACAAGGAAGAGGAUGGGGGCUUGAGGAAAGGGCAGAGUGUUGGGGAGCUGGGGUAGGAGGUGGAGAAUGGAGAAUAAUUUUUUUUUUUUUUUUUGAGACAGGAUCUUGCUUUGUCGCCCAGGCUGGAGUUCAGUGGCGCGAUCACGACUCACUGCAGCCUCAACUUCUAGGGCUCAGGUGAUCCCCCACCACGGAUCACCUGACCCACCACCACCCCCGGCUAAUCUUUGGUAUUUUUUGUAGAGACUGGGUUUUGCUGUGUUGCCCAGGCUGAUCUCAAACUCCUGGGCUCAGUGAUCCACCCUCUUCAGCCUCCCAAAGUGCUGGGAUUACAGGAGUGAGCCACCGCUCCUGGCCUCUGAGUUCUUCUCAUGGGAGGCUGAGAAAAGUCUGGGGGUCUGGGACAGCCAGGGCCGGGUUUCCCCUUCCAGGCAAUGAGAAAGAACAGGCUCUGCCUCCCACCAUAAGAGUCAAUCCCAAGUUCCAGAUGUGUCAGGGAAGCGAUGGAGAGCCCCAGACUUGAGGCAUCUGCAGACAGGUUCCUGCUCAGACAUCCACGUGGAGGGUGUUAGUAUCCUGGGAGCCUUCAGAACCUUGAAGCAUGCCAGCAGAGGAGAAUGAGGGAAGAUAAAAUCAAAGUGACUUAUCACAAUUAAGGAAAUGUGCUAUUUCAUGUACAACUGUGUGUGAGGAUGAGAUUCCUACCUGCCAUACUGAGGUAUUAUGAUAAGAACUAAGAGAGUCCAAAUUCCUACAGGAUGAACAGCUGAGGGAGCGAUGCAUUCCUUAGGAAGGAGUUUAGCUUCCCGAAGGAGACGGCAGCUGAGAUAGGUUCUGAGAAAUAGCAUUUUCAUUGGUUCCCCGGGCGCCGUGGCUCACGCCUGUAAUCCCAGCACUUCGGGAGGCCGAGGUGGGUAUCACCUGAGGUCAGGAGUUCGAAACCAGUCAGGCCAACAUGGUGAAACCCCAUCUCUACUAAAUACAAAAAAGUAGCCAGGUAUGAUGGCGCAGGCCUAUAAUCUCAGCUACUUGGGAGGCUGAGGCAGGAGAAUCGCUUGAACCUUGGAGGCGGAGGUUGCAGUGAGCCGAGAUUGUGCCACUGCACUCCAACCUGGGCAACAAGAGCUAAACUCCGUCUCAAAAAACCCAAAACAACAACAACAACAAAAAACAAAAUUGAAUGUUCACUGGCUGAGGGUUAGGGUGGGUGGAGAGAAAAUGCCAGUUGUGUGGAUCUGUUGAUGUAAAACAAAGGCCUAGAGGGUGGUAAACUGGAAGCAGUUCAAUGGGACAGUGCUUGAUGGGACUUUGGAGGUGAUGAGGUUUGAUAUAGUUUGGAUUUUUGUCCCUGCCCAAGUCUCAUGUUGAAUUGUAAUCCCCAGCGCUGGCAGUUGGGCCUGGUGGGAAGUGUUUGGAUCAUGGUGGUGGAUCCCUCAUGGUGGAUCCCAGUUCUCAUGAGAUCUGGUCAUUUAAAAGUGUGUGGCACCUCCCCACCACCUCUCUCUCUCGCUCGCUUGCUCGCUCCUGCUUUUACCAUGUGAUGUGCCUGCUCCCCCUUUGCCUUCCGCCAUGAUUGUAAGCUUCCUGAGGCUUCCCUAGAAGCAGAUGUCAGCAUUAUGCUUCCUAUACAGUCUGCAGAACUGUGAGCCAAUUAAACUUCUUUUCUUAUAAAUUACCCAGUCUAGAUGUUUCUUUAUAGCAAUGCAACAAUAGCCUCUUAUGAGUUUGGAAAGGGAUCUGAGCCCAUAUGCCAAGGAACUUGCCUGCCAAAUCUGGACUUUAUCCUUCAGGCCCUGGGAGACCAGUGAGAGGGUGGCAUAAUCCACUCUUUUGGAAGGGUAAAUGUGGCUGUGUGAAGUGUUGGUAGGGGAAGGCAGGGGGUGGGAGAUGAGCAUAUCUUGCUGCCUCCUUCUACCUGUCCUCCAGCCCCCUUAGGCCUGACCAUGGCUGACUUUGCAUCCGGUAGCUCUGAGAUACAGUGCCUUUGCCAAGGACCAUAUUUGAACUGAUCAUUAAUCAAUUCAUUUUGCAGAUCAUUGGUUUAGGUGUACUCAGGAGACCAACAACAAUAUCUUCUCUUUGUUUGACCCCUCCUGUGUCACAUGUAUGAUCACAGAAGAGACCAUGUUUUUGGAAGAGAAACAGAACUGGCUUUCCAUUGAGGCAAAUGAGGGGGCUGCCCCAUGGUGGAGACACACAGAAGGGUGGGAGAGGGACUCUAUCUUUCAUUGGAAUAGUCUAGUAAGUUACCAGUUCUAACUUGGCAUCUAGGACAUAUAAAUCAUGCAUUUACUUAUCCAGCAACCUUUUCUAAGCACCUUCUCUGUGUCAGGCCCUGUGCUAGGUGGAGCUGGAAGAUAUAGCUCACUUGCUUGUAAGGAACUUGAAGUCUGUGUGGGGGACAAAUGUAUAAACAGAAAAUUACAGUUCACCAUCUUAGUGUUCCAGAGGAAAGAAGCACUUAGUAUGAGGUACCAGGAAGAGGUGGGGAGAAGGGAGUGGCUUUACAUCCUUAAGUUCUGGGUGUUUGAAGAGCAGCCUUAGACACUAGCCACGGAGGUGGGCUUGGGUAGGCCCCGCCGUGGGGUUUGAAGACCCAAAAGAUGUUGGGUCAAGGAGGACAUGGGUGUCUAGUGUGGGAGCAAGCAGAAGGGUGAGCUCACCGAAGCACUGUUUUACCCACUGUACUACGUUUCUAUUGCUGCUAAAACAAAUUGCCACAAACUUAGUGGCUUAAAACAAGGGCGUUAUCUUCCAGUUCUGGAGGGCAGGAGUCUAACUCAGGUCUCCCUGGGCUAGAAUCGAGGUGUCAGCAGGGCUGGGUUCCUUUCUGGAGGCUUUGGGGGAGCAUCCAUUUCCUUGCCUUGCCCAGCUUCUAGAGGCCACCUGCAUUCCUGAGUUCAUGGCUCCCUUCUGUCUUCAAAGCCAACAACAGUGGGUGAGUCACUCUCACAU